rnacentral:rRNA from 1 species
AUUGAACGCUGGCGGCAGGCUUAACACAUGCAAGUCGAGCGGAGAGAGGUAGCUUGCUACUGAUCUUAGCGGCGGACGGGUGAGUAAUGCUUAGGAAUCUGCCUAUUAGUGGGGGACAACAUUUCGAAAGGAAUGCUAAUACCGCAUACGUCCUACGGGAGAAAGCAGGGGAUCUUCGGACCUUGCGCUAAUAGAUGAGCCUAAGUCGGAUUAGCUAGUUGGUGGGGUAAAGGCCUACCAAGGCGACGAUCUGUAGCGGGUCUGAGAGGAUGAGCCGCAACCCUGGGACUGAGACACGGCCCAGACUCCUACGGGAGGCAGCAGUGGGGAAUAUUGGACAAUGGGCGGAAGCCUGAUCCAGCCAUGCCGCGUGUGUGAAGAAGGCCUUAUGGUUGUAAAGCACUUUAAGCGAGGAGGAGGCUACUUUAGUUAAUACCUAGAGAUAGUGGACGUUACUCGCAGAAUAAGCACCGGCUAACUCUGUGCCAGCCGCCGCCGUAA